UAGGCGUAAAUGAUGCGAGUUAAGUGUGGGGGCAUCUACGAGAUGGCCCUGUGCUGUAGGGUAGCCGUUAAACUCGCUGCCUGGGGAGUACGGUCGCAAGGCUGAAACUUAAAGGAAUUGGCGGGGGAGGCACCACAACGGGUGGAGCCUGCGGUUUAAUUGGACUCAACGCCGGGAAGCUCACCGGAUAAGACAGCGGAAUGAUUGCCGGGCUGAAGGCCCUGCAUGACCAGCUGAGAGGUGGUGCAUGGCGUCAGUGACU
rnacentral:rRNA from 1 species